rnacentral:tRNA from 1 species
UAUAUUUUAGUAUAUGAUGUACAAGAAUUUUUGAUAUUUUAAGAAACAGUUUAAUUCUGUUAGAUAUAA